rnacentral:rRNA from 1 species
UACGGAGGAGGCAAGCGUUAUCCGGAAUUAUUGGGCGUAAAGCGUCCGCAGGUGGCGAUUCAAGUCUGCGGUCAAAGACUGGGGCUUAACCCUGGAAAGGCCGUGGAAACUGAAUAGCUAGAGUGCAGUAGGGGUAGAGGGAGUUCCCGGUGUAGCGGUGAAAUGCGUAGAGCUCGGGAAGAACAUCGGUGGCGAAAGCGCUCUGCUGGACUGCAACUGACACUCAGGGACGAAAGCUAGGGGAGCGAAUGGG